GUUGGUGUUUUUAUCGAUGAGGGUCCACCCGUUCCCAUUCCGAACACGGAAGUUAAGCUCAUCUGUGCCGACAAUACUUGACUGGAGACGGUCCGGGAAGAUAGGUCAAUGCCAACA
rnacentral:rRNA from 1 species